UGUUCUUGAAAUAUCAUUUCACACUUGAUUUUUUGUUGAAAUGAUUAUUAAUAUGAUUUUUUUUUGAACGAGUUUUUUUGGUGGUUGGUGACGCCGGAGUUCGAAACGUCGUCGGAGUCAAGAUCUAGUAAUGGUUUAGCCUUUUGAUCUGAACAAAACAUAUCCAUAAAGAUAUUCAAUUGACAAGCUGGAUGGAUGCGGGGAUAUUGAACAAGUCAAAACUUUUGGGAAAGAAGUUUUCAUUCGUUUAUAACAUGUGUUAGUGGUUCAUGCUGUAACAGAUCCAUAAAGAAGUUUUCAUGCUGUAACAAGUUUUCGUUCAUGCUGUAACAGAACAGCAUGAUGUAACCAGACAUGUGUUCAUAUAUAACAUGUGUUAAGCCCCUGAUAGAAUAAUAUAUAACGUGUGUUAUCCUUGUUAAUUAAAAAAAAACAAGUAAUAACUAUUUUAUUUUUAUUGAUGUUUAAAAUAUCUGAUAAUGUGGAUACCGAGCGUAAUACUUGUACAAGUAUUACAUGUACAAGUUAGUAUGUAACGUGUAAUAUUAAACGAGCCAUUUAUGGUAUCACAUGUACCGGUAAUUUUUGGAAUAUACAGAUUUUGGAAUA